GUCUCAGUAGCAUAGUGGUUAAUGCACAGCCCCGAUUAGGUGCGAGACGCGGGUUCCAAUCCCGCCUGAGAUG
rfam:Nippostrongylus brasiliensis genome assembly, scaffold: NBR_contig0012186